rnacentral:rRNA from 1 species
GACGAACGCUGGCGGCGUGCCUAAUACAUGCAAGUCGAACGCUGAAGGCGGACCUUGCUUCUCCGGAUGAGUUGCGAACGGGUGAGUAACGCGUAGGUAACCUGCCUGUUAGCGGGGGAUAACUAUUGGAAACGAUAGCUAAUACCGCAUAACAGUAGAUGUUGCAUGACAUUUGCUUAAAAGGUGCAAUUGCAUCACUACCAGAUGGACCUGCGGUGUAUUAGCUAGUUGGUGAGGUAACGGCUCACCAAGGCGACGAUCCAGAGCAGACCGGAGAGGGUGAGCAGCCAGACUGGGACGGAGACACGGCACAGACGGCUACGGGAAGCAGCAGGAGGGAAGCUGGGGGAAGGGACGGAAGACAGUCCGAGCAACGCCGAGGGAGUGAAGAAGGUUGUCGGAUCGGAAAGGUCUGUUGUAAGGGAAGAACGAGUGUGAGAGUGGAAAGUUCACACUGUGACGGUAACUGACCAGAAAGGGACGGCUAACUACGUG